ensembl:antisense Gm16130 predicted gene 16130
CUGUUUGCUUAGGGAAGGCAGAAUAGGAGAGAUGCUAAGAGCUGGGGAAGCCAAGGACUUGGGGACUGCAGCCUUGGAGGCCAUCCAUUGGGGAUGUCUCUCUCUGACCCUGUGGUUCAUAGGGCCUCAACCUUAGAGGUCUGGUCUCUUUCUGCCUGGCUCACACACUGUCCUUGUGUACUAAGGGGCUUCCUGAUAGAAGAGGGCUCAGAUCACCAUGGAAGCUCUCAGUACUUGAGAGAGAGCCUUUCUUCCAAUAUCUGCUCCAUCUUCUCGAUCACCUGGUGACAAGGUGACAAGGCUGGGCUGGCUUGAGACCUCACAACUUCUAGGCUGCUGCCCCUCCUCCACAGCUGGCCCCAGAACCUGCCUUCUCCUGGUGCCGUACAGUGUCCUCCAGGGCCUUCAUCUUCUGCAGCUUGUCCUGGUAGCGCCUCAGCUGUGCAGCCUGGGGCUGCUGAGCCUGGUACAGAAGCAGCAGCUCCUUCUCUCGGUCAUUCUUCUGCAGGGUGGAGGCCAAUGGGUACAUGAGAGUUCCCCAAGCCACGAGGGCACACAUGGGAUCCAUGAGAGUUACUCCAGCCACGAGGGCACACGUGGGAUUCUGCUGAAGCCUGAACUGGCCGGCUUCCCUCCCCACUGUGGACUUUCUCUCUGCUCCAGAUACUUCCCAGGACUGUGCCCGGAGGAGGAGCUGUCCCUCUGUCCAGCCGACCCUAGCUCACCCGAAUCAGCUCAUUUUGCAGGUGCUGCACCCUGUCUCGCAGCCUCUUCAUAUCCAGUUCGUUCAGCAGUAGCUUCUGCUUCAUGGACACUGCUGGGGUGGGAAGAAGCUGGCUCAAGAAUAGGUAGAGGUGGCUCCUCAGCAUGCCGUUCUCCUCCUCCAGGAUGUUAGCCUGCUUCUUCAGUGCCAGGAUGUCCUCUGCCAUCUUCUGCAUGGCCCGCCGGAGGAGUCUCUUAGACUGCCCACCAGAGCCACUUGGGGGCUGGACUGCCAUCAGCUUCCCAAAUAGCCCAGCAUCCAAGAAGAGACACCAAGAAGACACUGAAGACUCAGGGAUGCGACGUGACGGGUGCUUCCUGUGGCCGUCCACUGAACCCUCGCCGUCCGUACAACCCAGGUUAAACCCUUUCUUCCUGAAGAUGCUUUUGUCUGGAUUUCACACAGCAACGAGAAAUGCAACUGAUGCAUCAGGUCCUGUGGUCUUUCCAGGCAGGGAACACCCAAUGGCAUCUGGCAGUGACCGAGAGGGGCUGAAUGGGUGUCUUAGUUAGGUCUCUACUGCUGUGAUAAAAGCAUUGUGGCCAAAAGCAGCUUGGGGAGAAAAGGGUUUAUUUCAGCUUACAUCGUCCAGGGAAAUCAGGGCAGGAAUUCAAGGCAGAAACUUGGAGGCAGAGCUGAUACAGAGGCCGCGGAAGAGUGUUUCAUGAAGGAGGCUUGCUCAGCCUACUUUCGUAUACAGCUCAGAUCACCUGCCCAGUGGUCACUGCCCCCUGUGGAAGGGUCUUUCCAUAUCAAUCAUUAAUCAAGAUGACACCCCACAGACUUGCCUAUUGGCCAAUCUGGAGGCAUGCUCUCAAUUAAGACUGCUUCCCAGUUAUGUCUUAGAUUUGUAUCAAACUGACCAAGAGCCAGACAGUUCAGAGGGUAGCUCGCUUUGCCUGGGGGGUAUUCUCCUUGAGUGUCAGGGGAUGGCCCUUGCCCAUCUCAAACCCAGGACAAUCUUAUCAAGCUUGCUUAGUGUCCUGUCUCUGCCACAUCCUCUUCCUUUUCAGCUGCAGGUUCCCCCUAAGUUGAGUGGUCAAAGAGUGGGGUGUAAGAUUUUUCAGAGCAGCCCUGACCACUGUCAUAUAGGGUCUUGGAAAGUGAGAGAGAUGAAGCCUGGUCCCCAAGAUUCCUUCCUCAACUGUCCUCUUCACCCAGGCUUUUUAUAGCUCAGAGAGCCCUUUCUAGACAACCAAGCCUUACACAGCCAACCUAUGGGGUAUUCCCCCUGUUUAGCAGUAAAAGAUGGAGAUUUCUCUGAGCUCUGACUGGGGUGGAACGGUUAGCAGGAACCCUGGGUCAGCAAGCUGCCAGCAAGGGUGUUUGAUAUGUUUGGUGGGGUGCCAAGAGCUGUGUUAGGGUGAGAAGAUUAUUCUGGGUUCUUGUGAGGGCUUAGGCCCAGACUUCAGAGCUUUAGGGACUCACUGGGGGCAGUGGAGAACCAAGGAAGAUAGCAAGCAGAUAUGGAUAUCUGUGCUUUGAAUGAGCUGUGUCUCAAGAAGGAGGUGGGCCAAGGAGAGGAGGGCUCAUCCAGACUCAGUCCCCAGAGCUCCGUGAGGGUCUCUCAUCCCAUAAAGAAGAGGGAAGACAAAAGGAAGAGGCUUUCACCUUUAGCUUCACAGCCCACCACCAGCAAAGUAGGGAUCAAGAGGGGGUGUCCACAGAGCCUGAUAUGGAAGCUGAGAUGCCUCCAGUAGCCCUAAAACAGCCACUUGCAGUCCCUGAGCUACUGCUAUUCAGUGCAGUCCCUGAAGCCCACAUAUUUGCAUAUCUGAGAACAAAAAUAAUUCUGCUGCCGGCUUAGCACCACCAAGGCUGCAGCCCCCUUUUGUCUGUUUGAAUAAGAGCUGGCUAAGGGCGGAAGGAUAAUUAGUCCCCUGUGUGCAGUGUCCCCCCAUACCCCCCUUGAAGAUUUAAAGACGCAGUCUAAAUACUCUUUGCUAUACUCCCACAGCUGGCUGGCUACGGGGUGUCUGCAUCGGCAGGAGCCGAUAAAUGGGCAUUUUAUCUGAUUAAACUGGGAGUGAACUGGC